CCCAAGGGGGGGGGGGGGUUUAAACCCCCUAAACCCCCCGUAGAUCCGCGCCUGCCCCGGCUUCCCAUACCUCCUGACAUAAAGCCGGGCUUUCAGGCUGGGUAGACAAGGCAAUAUACAAUGAUAAAACAAUGUGUGAAAAAGACAGAUUUUCCAUAAAGUUCAAAUGAUUCAAAUUGUCGUUCGUUUUGAUUUAUCAAUUACCAUCGACUCUAUUUUUUCUUGACCUUAACAGCCUUCAUCAUGAAUGUGAUCGACCCUGACGUUGGGCCAUGGGCCAGAGUUAGGCACCAGUGUUUAUGCCGCACACAGGGAGGUUUUGGACCCCGAUGCAAGAGGGACACGCGACACCUUUCGCGCAUCUGUUGGCAGCACCGCUUAAAUUACACAGAGGAGGAAAUAGAAGUGUUAAUUAGAAUGCGGCCUAUCAGAUGCCAAGCGAUGACACUCAGAGGCCAUCAAUGCUCACGAGAUGGCAGAAGACGCCAUGUCUUAAUGUACUGCACACAACACUAUAACAUUCAUGCCGGCCCGGAGGUUAUGUCCGAUUCCGAUGAAUUCUAGCCUGGACCGGUAAACAUAAAAAAAGAGCAAGACAAGGACAUCAUCUAACAACACCCGCCUCUCAACUAUCUCCCCUAUACCGUCAUCAUCUUCCAACCAGUUCCCCACACAUCUUCAAACCAGUUCUGCCAUCUUCACACCAGUUCCCUCAACAUCUUCACACCAGUUCUGCCAUCUUCACACCAGUUUAACAGGUAUUCCAACAUUCUUCAAAGCCAAUACUGCCAUUUAUAUCCAUAUUCUAUUAACUUAUUUAUUUCCACCUUGUCACACUCAAUUAUCAUUGUAUUUCCUGUACCUUGUCUUGCUCUUUUUUUAUGUGAAUGUUA